rnacentral:rRNA from 1 species
UCCGGAGGGAGACUAUGUGUGUCUGUGCGUGACUACUACUGCUACAAAUUUCAGAUGCGUCCCGGGAUAUUCAACCCAAUCCUCUAUGGUAAGCGUCUUUUCCAACAGUUUGCAGUAGACACAUACAUCAAGAUAGAGAACUCCCGAUUUGACUAUAUAUGGGGCCAUCAAGAUACGAUAAGGGCGGACCUAUACCAAGGCUUGGUGGACAGCUUACAUGCUGGUGAGGAUAGGGCAGAUGCUAUUGGAAAA